UUAUUUUGAAGCAGAUGGUCGGUUAUUAAAGCUUCAAUAAGUAUUAAGAAAGUAAUCAUCGAUUAGAUAUGCAGUUUCCAUAUCUAAUUUCUGCAGUCCAAUAGAAUCUCUUAUUUUUUGUAUCCUCUCUUGCCACAAAUUACAUUUCUUGCGGAUAUAUGUAUGCAUAUAUGUAAACGAGCACACCAACAGUUUGAUGUGGAUCUGCUUUAGCACUUCAUACGCUUACGAUCUUAGCUGCUUGGCAGUCCAACGCGUCGCGAGAUCGCCGCUCUCUUAUGUACAAAUGUUGAAAUGCUUGUAUUUGAGUAUGUGACGAUCCAAAAUGUGCGACUCAAAGUUCGAAAAAGUUUUUCUUUAGCCUCUUUGCGAAAGGCCGGCCGAUUGAAUGGGUGGAAUCAGUGCGUUUUUGCAUUUCGAACGUGGUGAUACGGUGGUUCGGAAGACGACCGAUCGUUGGGUGAACAGAAAAAUAACUAAUGUACAAUUUUUGUGUAACUAUUUUUGAGC